UGGCGGCAGCUUAACCAUGCAAGUCGCACGAGAACGCUCCUUCGGGAGCAAGUAAAGUGGCGGACUUGUGCGUAACGCGUAGACAACCUGCCCUUGAGCGGAGGAUAACCACGGGAAACUAUGGCUAAUACUCCAUAAUGUCCGGAGCCCGCAUGGGGUCCGGAUCAAAGCCUUCGGGUGCUCAGGGAUGGGUCUGCGUCGGAUUAGCUCGUUGGUGAGGUAACAGCUCACCAAGGCAACAAUCCGUAGCUGGUCUGAGAGGAUGAUCAGCCACACUGGCACUGAGACACGGGCCAGACUCCUACGGGAGGCAGCAGUGGGGAAUCUUAGGCAAUGGGGGAAACCCUGACCUAGCCAUGCCGCGUGGAGGAAGACACCCCUACGGGGCGUAAACUCCUUUUCUGCCGGAAGAAAACCCUGUUUUGCAGGGCGUGACGGUACGGCAGGAAUAAGCACCGGCUAACUCCGUGCCAGCAGCCGCGGUAAUACGGAGGGUGCAAGCGUUGUCCGGAAUCACUGGGCGUAAAGGGUGUGCAGGUGGGACCGCAAGUCAGGGGUGAAAGCCCACAGCUUAACUGUGGAAGUGCCCUUGAAACUGCUGUUCUUGAGUCCUGGAGAGGUUGCCGGAAUUCGUGGUGUAGCGGUGAAAUGCGUAGAUAUCACGAGGAACACCAGAGGCGUAAGCGGGCAACUGGACAGGUACUGACACUGAGGCACGAGAGCGUGGGGAGCAAACAGGAUUAGAUACCCUGGUAGUCCACGCCGUAAACGAUGAAUGCUCGCCGUUGUCCUGUUAGGGGACAGUGGCUAAGCUAACGCGUUAAGCAUUCCGCCUGGGGAGUACGACCGCAAGGUUGAAACUCAAAGGAAUUGACGGGGGGCCGCACAAGCGGUGGAGCAUGUGGCUUAAUCGAUGCAACGCGAAAAACCUACCUAGGCUCGAA
rnacentral:rRNA from 1 species